rnacentral:rRNA from 1 species
AUUGAACGCUGGCGGCAGGCCUAACACAUGCGAGUCGAGCGGAUGAAGGGAGCUUGCUCCUGGAUUCAGCGGCGGACGGGUGAGUAAUGCCUAGGAAUCUGCCUGGUAGUGGGGGAUAACGUCCGGAAACGGGCGCUAAUACCGCAUACGUCCUGAGGGAGAAAGUGGGGGAUCUUCGGACCUCACGCUAUCAGAUGAGCCUAGGUCGGAUUAGCUAGUUGGUGGGGUAAAGGCCUACCAAGGCGACGAUCCGUAACUGGUCUGAGAGGAUGAUCAGUCACACUGGAACCGAGACACGGUCCAGACUCCUACGGGAGGCAGCAGUGGGGAAUAUUGGACAAUGGGCGAAAGCCUGAUCCAGCCAUGCCGCGUGUGUGAAGAAGGUCUUCGGAUUGUAAAGCACUUUAAGUUGGGAGGAAGGGCAGUAAGUUAAUACCUUGCUGUUUUGACGUUACCAACAGAAUAAGCACCGGCUAACUUCGUG